AACAAACAUACAUGAGAAGAUGGAAAACCGAUAAAACCAGAAAACCAAAACAUUUAUAACAAAGGAAUAAAAUAAAACACAAAUUGUACAAGAAACCAAAACACACGACAAACCAACCGAAACGGAAACUUGGCACGGUUGUGUGGUGUUCACGGUGGAAUUUAUUCGAGUGUGUUUUGUUGGAAGAAAUAGGUUGAAGGAGAGUGGGUUGUUGUUGGUUGUUGGUGGUGGGGGGAAUUUGGAGGUGUUUCGUGGUUGAUGGUGGGAGAGGGAGGAAGUAUGUUUUGCGUUUUCUAUGGAAAUGAGGAGUGAGGAGAAAUGAGGUGUUAAAGGAGGAAAAGUGGUGAAGGAGAAGAAGAAGCCGCGACUGUUGAGUGAUGGUGAUGAAGGUUGUGGUGUGCUUUAUUGUGAGGAAGAAGAAAAGAUGGAAGGGAGUGUUUCAGUUUGUGAAGAGUGGUUAUGGAAAGUGAGUGAAGAAAGUUAGGUGUGGCACAAUGAUGAGAUGAAGGAAGGAGAGAAGUGAAUGAAUGUGUGAAGAAUGAGAGAGUGAAAAGUGAAGAGCAAGUUUUUUGAUUUGGUGAGAGUGAAUGAAAGAAUAUGAGAGUGAUAAAGGUGAAGGAAAAAAAUGAGAGAGGAAAAUAAGACCGUGAAAAUGAGAGUCAAGG
rnacentral:lncRNA from 1 species